rnacentral:rRNA from 1 species
AAUAGAUACCCGGGUAGUCCACGCCGUAAACGAUGAGUGCUAAGUGUUGGGGGGUUUCCGCCCCUCAGUGCUGCAGCUAACGCAUUAAGCACUCCGCCUGGGGAGUACGGUCGCAAGACUGAAACUCAAAGGGAUUGACGGGGGCCCGCACAAGCGGUGGAGCAUGUGGUUUAAUUCGAAGCAACGCGAAGAACCUUACCAGGUCUUGACAUCCCGGUGACCACUAUGGAGACAUAGUUUCCCCUUCGGGGGCAACGGUGACAGGUGGUGCAUGGUUGUCGUCAGCUCGUGUCGUGAGAUGUUGGGUUAAGUCCCGCAACGAGCGCAACCCUUAUUCUUAGUUGCCAUCAUUCAGUUGGGCACUCUAAGGAGACUGCCGGUGAUAAACCGGAGGAAGGUGGGGAUGACGUCAAAUCAUCAUGCCCCUUAUGACCUGGGCUACACACGUGCUACAAUGGACGGUACAAACGGUUGCCAACCCGCGAGGGGGAGCUAAUCCGAUAAAACCGUUCUCAGUUCGGAUUGUAGGCUGCAACUCGCCUACA